rnacentral:rRNA from 1 species
UACAGAGGUCUCAAGCGUUUGUUCGGAAUCAUUGGGCGUAAAGCGCGCGUAGGCGGUUACUUAAGUCGGAUGUGAAAGCCCUCGGCUUAACCGAGGAAGUGCAUCCGAAACUGAGUAGCUAGAGUACUAAAGAGGGUCGCGGAAUUCCCGGUGUAGAGGUGAAAUUCGUAGAUAUCGGGAGGAACACCGGUGGCGAAGGCGGCGACCUGGGUAGAUACUGACGCUGAGGCGCGAAAGCGUGGGGAGCAAACAGG